UACGGAGGAUGCGAGCGUUAUCCGGAUUUAUUGGGUUUAAAGGGUGCGUAGGCGGAUUUUUAAGUCAGCGGUAAAAUGUCCGGGCUCAACCCGGGCCGGCCGUUGAAACUGGGGAUCUUGAGUGGGCGAGAAGUAUGCGGAAUGCGUGGUGUAGCGGUGAAAUGCGUAGAUAUUAGGAAGAACACCAGUGGCGAAGGCGGAUUACUGGACGACAACUGACGGUGAGGCGCGAAAGCGUGGGGAGCAAACAGG
rnacentral:rRNA from 1 species